rnacentral:rRNA from 1 species
UACGAAGGGGGCUAGCGUUGUUCGGAAUUACUGGGCGUAAAGGGCUCGUAGGCGGCCAACUAAGUCCGACGUGAAAUCCCCAGGCUUAACCUGGGAACUGCGUCGGAUACUGGAUGGCUUGAAUUCGGGAGAGGGAUGCAGAAUUCCAGGUGUAGCGGUGAAAUGCGUAGAUAUCAGGAGGAACACCGGUGGCGAAGGCGGGUCUCUGGGCCGAAACUGACGCUGAGGAGCGAAAGCGUGGGGAGCAAACAGG